AUGUCAUCAAAUGCAUGGACAAGGACAGCCCAGGUGUCCACCUGGACCUGAACACCCUCAAAACCGAGUUCCAGGAGCUUCAAAAGCUCAUGGGCACCGGGCCCCCAGCAUCCUCCCGAGCCCGAGCAGCAGCUGCAGCCCCACAGCAUCCAGGUGUAAGUUAGGACCAGAAGGGGCUUCUACAAAAGUGCCAGAGUCUCUGCACAUUUGAAAUCCCUGAGAAGCAGAGUGAGGCUGACUUCAGGAAUGGCUGAGAAAGACGGGGGGAAGCAGUGGCCUGUGUGCCCCGAC
rnacentral:lncRNA from 1 species